rnacentral:rRNA from 1 species
GACUAACGGCUGGCGGCGUGCUAACACAUGCAAGUCGAACGAGUUGUUUAUAGUAGCAAUAUUGUGAACAGCAAGUGGCGAACGGGUGAGUAACACGUAGAUAAUCUGGCCUUUCAGACGGGGGACAACUCAGGGAAACUUGUGCUAAUACCCGAUGAGACUACGAGGGGGGACUUUCGUAGCCAAAGGUGGGGGCAACCUCACGCUGAAAGAUGAGUCUGCGUCCUAUCAGCUAGUUGGUGGGGUAAAAGCCUACCAAGGCGAAGACGGGUAGCCGGCCUGAGAGGGUGAACGGCCACACUGGGACUGAGACACGGCCCAGACUCCUACGGGAGGCAGCAGUGAGGAAUUUUCCGCAAUGGGCGCAAGCCUGACGGAGCGACGCCGCGUGAGGGAUGACGGCCUUCGGGUUGUAAACCUCUUUUAUUAGGGAAAAAGACAUUUGUGCUAAUACCACGGAUGUUUGAUUGUACCUGUUGAAUAAGCCCCGGCUAACUACGUG